rfam:Ornithorhynchus anatinus chromosome 3, whole genome shotgun sequence.
AGCAGCGUGGCUCAGUGGCAAAAGCAUGGGCUUGGGAGUCAGAAGUCUUGGGUUCCAAUCCCAGCUCUGCCA